AUGCUCUUUGCGGAUGAUGUGGUGCUAGUUGACGAUAGUCGGACGGGGGUAAAUAGUAAGUUAGAGUUAUGGAGACAAACCUUGGAUUCGAAAGGGUUUAGGCUUAGUAGAACUAAAACCGAGUACAUGAUGUGCGGUUUCAGUACUACUAGGUGUGAGGAGGAGGAGGUUAGCCUUGAUGGCCAGGUGGUACCUCGGAAGGACACCUUUCGGUAUUUGGGGUCAAUGUUGCAGGAGGAUGGGGGUAUUGAUGAAGAUGUGAACCAUCGAAUCAAAGCCGGAUGGACGAAGUGGCACCAAGCUUCUGGCAUUCUCUGUGACAAGAGAGUGCCACAAAAGCUAAAAGGCAAGUUCUACAGGACGGCGGUUCGACCUGCAAUGUUGUAUUGCGCGGAGUGUUGGCCGACUAAAAGGCGACAUGUUCAAUAG
rnacentral:rRNA from 1 species